rnacentral:rRNA from 1 species
CAGCGCCACGAGUGGGAAUCGUAUUUAUUUGGCCUAAAGCGUCCGUAGCCGGUCCUGUAAAUCCUUUGUGAAAUCAUUAAGCUCAACUUAAUGGCGUGCAGAGGACACUGCUGGACUUGGAACCGGGAGGAGUCAGAAGUAUGGGAUGGGGAGCGGUAAAAUGUGAUAAUCCAUCCUAGGCUACCUGUGGCGAAGGCGUCUGACUAGAACGGAUUCGACGGUGAGGGACGAAAGCCAGGGGAGCGAUCCGGAUUAGAUACCCGAGUAGUCC